ensembl:lncRNA
GGUAGAGGAAACAGGAAGCUGGUCGCUUGUUAGCCUGCAGGAUAUGUUGUUGCUCUUUAAAACGUUUCUGCCUUGAAGAGUUAUUGCUUGUGAGUAUUAACCCUUUAGAACCGGUAGGAGCGGACACAAGUCUGGAGAAGUAUAAUUUGUUAAGUGCUUAUCUUUGGAACUGGUCUCUGUCACAAGCAGAACAAUAAGGACGAACAAUGUCAGUGGAAAUACAUUUUCAAAAUGCUGACAAUGAAGCACGCAUUGGUCUGAGCCUACAAGAUGAGAAUCCUAUAGGAGAACUUUGCAGGUGUUCGUGUGGGCAAAGAAUGGAUCCAUUGACCUGUUGGAUACACUUACGUCUGCUGCUGCGAUCACUUUAUUCUCUGCAGUGGUCUUGCUCCUGUUCCACUUCAACAAAUACAUCCAAUUAAACAAAUGCACAUUAAAAGGAAGUUCAAUAAAGUUUAUUUCACUUUAAA